GUGUGAUUAUCAUCACAGCAAACAUACAGAAAAAUUCCAUCAUAAGGAUACUUAGUGAAUCCUUUUAUAGCUAAAGCCACCUUUCUUCCUCCUUCCUUCAUAAUUCCAGGUAUCGUUGGAUAUUGUGAAGAAUGUCUCUCAACUGGAUUGUCUGAUGUUUUCCCCACGAUUAGACUGAGAUUACCAGUUUUGGGGAGAAAGACCACAAAGGAAAUUGAAAGACGAUGCAAGAAGUGUCUUCAGGUUUCCACGGAAAUGGAAUUAAAUGAGAAACAUGUGGUACUUUCUGAUGGAGACAGAUCAUCCUGAAAUCACUUCACUUCUGCUGGCUAAAUAGAGAAAUAACGAUAAAUCUUUUCAAAAACAAAGGAGAGAAAAACGUAGGAAAUACAUCAAGCAAUACGUUUAUGGCACCAUUAGUAUGCCUCUAUACAGAAGGUUAUUUAUAAUGGUGGAAUUGUUUGUCACACAGCAUAUGAAAAAAGGAAAUUCAAAUUAUAUAGAUGGGUUACAGUGUUAAAUAUGAUCUUGCAAACUCUAGAUAUGUCACCUUCCUAGAUGCAAACCUUAUUUUUAAUUUUUAGCAACAUUUUAACAAAUUAGAGAUGUAUGCAUAUUCAGCAUGGUUUAAACUCAGAUCAUUCGGAUAUUUUCUAAACAAUCCUCAGUAGAAAUUUCAACAAGUUUAUCUUGUUCUCAUACAUGUGUUUAUGAACAAAGGGUUAUUUUGAAGUAUUGUUAAUGGUGAAUAAAUGUAUGCUAUGGAAUAAAUUAUUUACAACUGUGGACCUACUUCAUGAAAAAUGUGUAUAAAGCACACAAAA